GGAUUAGGCAUGCAAGUCGAACGAAGUCUUCGGACUUAGUGGCGAAAGGGUUAGUAAUACAUGAGUAACUUGCCCGUAACCUGGGAAUAACGGCUGGAAACGGCCGCUAAUACCGAAUGUGGUUUUCCAAGAUAACUUGGAACAACUAAAGUGGGGGACCUUUAUGGCCUUGCGGUUACGGAGAGGCUCAUGGGAUAUCAGCUUGUUGGUGUGGUAACGGCGCACCAAGGCUAAGACGUCUAGGCGGACUGAGAGGUUGACCGCCAACACUGGGACUGAGACACUGCCCAGACUCCUACGGGAGGCUGCAGUCGAGAAUCAUUCACAAUGGACGAAAGUCUGAUGAUGCGACGCCGUGUGAACGAUGAAGGCCUUAGGGUUGUAAAGUUCUUUCGCAAGGGAACAAGGGAACUAGACUUAAUUAAUUCUGGUGACUUGAGCGUAMCYUGUAAAGAAGCACCGGCUAAAUCCCCGUGCCCAGCAGCUGCGGUAAUACCGGAAGGUGCAAGCGUUAAUCGGAAUUAUUGGGCGUAAAGGGCGCGUAGGCGGAUUGGAAAGUUCGAUGUGAAAUUCCGGGGCUCAACCCCCGGAGCUGCAUUGAAAACUUCCAGUCUAGAGGAUAGGCGGAGAAAACGGAAUUCCAUGUGUAGCGGUGAAAUGCGUAGAUAUAUGGAAGAACACCGGUGGCGAAGGCGGUUUUCUAGCUUAUUCCUGACGCUGAGGCGCGAAAGCAAGGGGAGCAAACAGGAUUAGAUACCCUGGUAGUCCUUGCCGUAAACGAUGUACACUAGAUGUAGCUGGUCUUAACCCCAGCUGUGUCGUAGCUAACGCAUUAAGUGUACCGYCUGGGGGAGUACGCUCGCAAGGGUAAAACUCAAAAGAAUUUGACGGGGGGYCCGCACAAGCAGUGGAGCAUGUKGWUUAWUUCGAUGCAACGCGAAGAAYCUUACCUCAGACUUGACAUGUAGAGRACSRUYCUAGMAAUAGUUCUUCCCGUACAGGGUCUCUAUACAGGUGCUGCAUGGCUGUCGUCAGCUCGUGCCGUGAGGUGUUGGGUUAAGUCCCGCAACGAGCGCAACCCUUGUCAUUAGUUGCCAACACGUAAUGGUGGGAACUCUAAUGAGACUGCCUGGGUUAACCAGGAGGAAGGUGAGGAUGACGUCAAGUCCGCAUGGCCCUUACGUCUGGGGCUACACACGUGCUACAAUGGCAGGAACAAUAGGCAGCGAAGCCGAAAGGUGAAGCAAAUCCAAAAAUCCUGUCUCAGUUCAGAUUGUAGUCUGCAACUCGACUACAUGAAGCCGGAAUUGCUAGUAAUGGCGCGUCAGCAAUAGCGCCGUGAAUACGUUCCCGGGCCUUGUACACACCGCCCGU
rnacentral:rRNA from 1 species